GUGCCCAUCUGCUCUGCACCAGACAUAGUUGGUUAGAGCAUGGUGCUGAUAAUGCCAAGGUUGUAGGUUCGAUCCCUGUAUGGGACA